GAGACAGAAGAAAGCCAAGGAACUGUGCAGAACAGAAGUGAAGGUGUCAACACAGCUACUGGAUGGGUCAGAAUAUCUCUUUUGGGAGUUAGAAGUCUGAAAUCAAGAGGUUAGAAGAGUAUUUAUCCUGAGGCCUUCUUGCUGUGGAUGGCUCUAUACAUGUUGUCUCCUCUGUCACAUCCUGAGGUACGAGAAGCUAGGAAUUGGCAUAUCCCUGUCAACAGGACACAGCUCAACUCCUCAGAGUCUCUUUAUUUUGGUAAAAUGAAGCAAAAGAAGAAAAGGCACAGCUCUAGCUGUCUUGGAACUCUGUAGACCAGGCUAGCCCCAUACUCACGAAGAUUCAUUCGCCUGCUUCUACUGAGUGCCGGGAUUAAAGGUGUAUGCCCCGAGGCAAACCCACCCUUGGAUACUUGGGUUCUACAGCAUAUAUGACAUCCCGGUGGAGGGGAGUGAGCCGCCACAGAAAUACCAACGGUGCAUCUCUGAAGCACAUGGCCAGGGCUUGAGUGGCCAAAGAUAAGCCAGACAUGUUCCAUCCAUUCAAGAAACGUGCAGUCUACAGAGACGCAGGCUCGAUGAAAGAUAAUACUUAUUUGACAACGGAUGUAUCUUUAGAAUCAAACAAAAAUUAUUCCAAGACAAAGCAAAAGAAUACGAUGGGUGAUCAAAGCAGCUGAGUCACAAUUGUGACUCCGAACAGCUUUACAGUCGUCCCCACAGAUGAUUCUGAAGAUGUCACGAGCAUCUUAGAGUUCCCGCAUCACCUCCUGAGACACCACUCUGGGGGGCAAAGUUAAUCUUGUGUGCUGUGCAAGCUCCCACUUGUUUAUUUGUUUUUGUUUUUAGAACAUACAUAAGAAAGAAAGAUCCCAUGACUAAAUAUUUGACGGACAAAAAUAUCCUCUGAAGUUCCUCAAGUCUUUGAGGAUGUGAAUGUUUUUAAGGUCACAUAAAUAUGAACGUCAAAUUGCAAGUCUUCAUGAUCUCUGCCUCUGCUUCACCUCUGAGCUCCACCCACUUUCCAGUACUACAAGAGUCUCCCUAGGGAAAAACACCGUUUCUCCUCUCCAGGAUACUCUGUUUGGAUACCUGGUUGCUGACCACGGCUACUUAAGAAGCCUCUUGGGGGCAUUCUGGAAGCACUGACUUCUCCUUGGGACCCUUUUUACCCUGUACACAUAAGACAGAGAUUUGUAUUCAAACCUUACAACAUAUCCACAACCUCUGGACUGGGGUCUCCUAGGGCCCUAUGGCCAGAAGCUUCUUGGCCAUCCGUGGGCAGCUGCUUUUCAGUACACUGUCUCAUCUACAGGCUGUAGAUGAGAGCGUAAUUUCCAGUUCCAUCUGUCCUGUCUUGGCUCUAAAUUGAAGCACUGUAUGGCCUCCUCGCUUUAUUCAAGCAAUCCUAAACAUCUGGCCGCCAGCAGAUGGCUCUACCACACAAAAAAGUCCCCCAUGAAAUUAAGCCAGGGCCUCAAGACCAGGGCAGGACCUGAACAGGCCAGGUUCUCCUGAGAUUGCUCUUGGUUUAAGACAGAGUUGAGUUCAAAACAAAGCUUGUGUGCUGGCUAGGGGUUUUGGUCAACUUGGCCCACGCUGGAGUGAUCUGGGACUAGGGACCUCAGUUGAGGAAUUAUCCCCAUGAGCCUGUGUGAGUCUGUGGGGCAUUGGCACUGCCACCCUGGGCAGGUGGUCCUGAGUUGUGUGAGAACCGUGACUGAGCAAGCACAAAGGAGGAGGCCAGUGAGCAGUGCCCCGUCGUUCCGCUUCAGUUCUCGCGCCCAGGUUCCUGCCCUGAGUCGUGGCUUCCCUGCAUGAUGGGCUCUAAGUGGUAAGAUGCAAUAAAUCCUUUCCUCCUCAUGUUGCUUUUGGUCAUAGUGUUUAUCCCAGUGAUAAAAAGCAAACUAGGAUAGCUUACGUGUAAUUGUCAGGAUGGGGUCUGCAUAGAUGGCUGCCAUCCUCUAUGCGCGACAUAGAGACAGUAUCAGCAAGUGACCUUAUGGUGGGGACGGAACUCACAGACUGCCGGGGACAAAGAUGGCCGGACAGAGUAAGGCCAUUGUGAAUAAAGACAACACAGGUACUCCUUCCCCGGGUUUUUCUUAGAGAAGGUUGUAGGGGCAUUCACAGUGUGCUUUAUAAAGUUCACAGUAUGCUUUAUAAAGUUCACAGUGUGCUUUAUAAUGUUCAUAGUAAUGCUUUACAAAGGCUGAAAACACCUCAAUUCUUUUAUAAUAAGUAUGUUUUUUCUAACCAAAGUCUCUCCUUGAGCUGUGUCGGGGAGAGAGUCAGCCCCGGCUUUGGCUGCGAGGGGCCAAGCAUUCCCUCGCUUACCACCCAGCCCCCCUCUGCCGGCAGCUUCCUUGAACUGUCAUUAUUAUUUGAAUAGUUAAAGGAAAUAAUAUAUUUAUGGUAAAACAAGCAUGAAUAGAUUAUAAAGUCAGAUGCAAAAUUCACAUGAAUUUUUAAGAUAGAAAAGGCACUUGAAAGAAAUUUCCUUUCUGUUGCUUGGGGGCAUGCACUCAUUCUUGUCAGGGACACUUUGGUGGGGAAGUUUGAGAAGGUCUGAUGAGGCUCCGGGGAACCACUGAGAAGAUGACUCCGGGAGACCAAAAGAGAAAUGGAGGCCCUGUGUAGUCAAAGUCAGGGCCGUUCCUAAGCUCAACCCAGGAAUGAAUGCGAAUACAAGUUGUCGGCUGGUCCCGCGCACUGGAGAGCUAUCCUGUUUAGGCUCACUAAGUCUCAAGUCACAGCAGAACGGCCCGAGACAGAUAAAUGGUUCUAUGUCAAAAGGCCAGCAGACCCAGCCAACCACGUACUUCUAACAGUCUCUGUGCUCCCUAUCUUCUGGUUGCCCCCAAAACUCACUUCCAAAGGCGAAGCCUAGCUGUGGGAGGCCAUGAGGUUAUAUUCAUCUCCUUGGCAUUUCACCUGAUAAAUCUAGCACCAAGAUAAAGCAACUUCUUGGUUUUCUAAACCAAAGAAUACGUGGAUAUGAGAUUCAGGGAACACAACGGAGGUGUUCAUGCCUUAGGUGGAAGAGGCUGCCUUAGCCCUUUGGAUGGUGGCACACAUCCUCCGAUGCAGGGAGCGGUGUGUUCUACUGUGGCUGCAACUCCCUCCUCCUGGGUGUCAGAGUCUGUCUCGGGACCUCUUCCUGGAAGGCGCUGGCUUGAGGAUUUUAAAGUCCACCGUGUAUCACCUAGGAAGCUGCAGGAGGAUAGAUGUGCCCCCUCUCUCCCUGGAUUUGGUGAUUGGUGAACAGGAAAAAGCCCCAGCCUUCCUUCUUCCUAAUUCUGUUUCAAGACAUCUAUG